GGCUAACUCCGUGCCAGCAGCCGCGGUAAUACGGAGGGUGCGAGCGUUGUUCGGAAUUAUUGGGCGUAAAGCGCGCGUAGGCGGUUCUUUAAGUCUGUCUGUGAAAGGCCGGGGCUCAACCCCGUGCAGUGCAGGGGAUACUGGAGGACUUGAGAGAUGCAGAGGCCAGCGGAAUUCCGGGUGUAGCGGUGGAAUGCGUAGAGAUCCGGAAGAACACCGGCGGCGAAGGCGGCUGGCUGGGCAUCAUCUGACGCUGAGGUGCGAAAGCGUGGGGAGCAAACAGGA
rnacentral:rRNA from 1 species